rnacentral:rRNA from 1 species
GAGUUUGAUCCUGGCUCAGAUUGAACGCUGGCGGCAGGCCUAACACAUGCAAGUCGAGCGCGAAAGUUCUUCGGAAUGAGUAGAGCGGCGGACGGGUGAGUAACGCGUAGGAAUCUGUCCGGUAGUGGGGGAUAACGUUCCGAAAGGAACGCUAAUACCGCAUACGCCCCAAGGGGGAAAGCGGGGGAGGUCUUCGGACCCCUCGCGCUAUCGGAGGAGCCUGCGUCGGAUUAGCUAGUUGGCAGGGUAAAGGCCUACCAAGGCGACGAUCCGUAGCUGGUCUGAGAGGAUGAUCAGCCACACCGGAACUGAGACACGGUCCGGACUCCUACGGGAGGCAGCAGUGGGGAAUAUUGCGCAAUGGGGGCAACCCUGACGCAGCCAUGCCGCGUGUGUGAAGAA